rnacentral:rRNA from 1 species
UUAAGUGACUAAGCGUACACGGUGGAUGCCUGGGCAGUCAGAGGCGAUGAAGGACGUACUAACUUGCGAUAAGCGCAGAUAAGGCAGUAAGAGCCGUUUGAGUCUGCGAUUUCCGAAUGGGGAAACCCAACUGCAUAAGCAGUUACUGUUAACUGAAUACAUAGGUUAACAGAGCAAACCGGGGGAACUGAAACAUCUAAGUACCCCGAGGAGAAGAAAUCAACCGAGAUUCCGGUAGUAGCGGCGAGCGAACCUGGAUUAGCCCUUAAGCACUCGGUGAAGUAGGUGAACAAGCUGGAAAGCUUGGCGAUACAGGGUGAUAGCCCCGUAACCGACGCUUCAUCGAGCGUGAAAUCGAGUAGGGCGGGACACGUGAUAUCCUGUCUGAAUAUGGGGGGACCAUCCUCCAAGGCUAAAUACUCCUGACUGACCGAUAGUGAACCAGUACCGUGAGGGAAAGGCGAAAAGAACCCCUGUGAGGGGAGUGAAAUAGAACCUGAAACCGCGUACGUACAAGCAGUAGGAGCACCUUCGUGGUGUGACUGCGUACCUUUUUGUAUAGUGGGUCAGCGACUUAUAUUCAGUGGCAAGGUUAACCGUAUAGGGGAGCCGUAGCGAAAGCGAGUCUUAACUGGGCGCUCAGUCUCUGGAUAUAGACCCGAAACCGGGUGAUCUAGCCAUGGGCAGGUUGAAGGUUGAGUAACAUCAACUGGAGGACCGAACCGACUAAUGUUGAAAAAUUAGCGGAUGACUUGU